rnacentral:rRNA from 1 species
UACGAAGGGGGCUAGCGUUGCUCGGAAUCACUGGGCGUAAAGGGUGCGUAGGCGGGUCUUUAAGUCAGGGGUGAAAUCCUGGAGCUCAACUCCAGAACUGCCUUCGAUACUGAGAGUCUUGAGUCCGGGGAGAGGUGAGUUGGAACUGCGAGUGUAGAGGUGAAAUUCGUAGAUAUUCGCAAGAACACCAGUGGCGAAGGCGGCGU